rfam:Dufourea novaeangliae contig1546, whole genome shotgun sequence.
GUGUCGUUCGCAGCACGCGUUACUCGGGUACUUCAGGCUGUGCCAAUGUCGAGUCAGUCAGGUACCUGAAGUAGCGCGUGCUGCAACGAAACC